GAAAUGCGAUAAGUAAUGUGAAUUGCAGAAUUCAGUGAAUCAUCGAAUCUUUGAACGCACCUUGCGCUCCUUGGUAUUCCUUGGAGCAUGCCUGUUUGAGUAUCAUGAAAUCUUCAAAGUAAAUCUUUUGUUAACUCAAUUGGUUUCUACUUUGGUAUUGGAGGUCUUUGCAGCUUCACACCUGCUCCUCUUUGUUCAUUAGCUGGAUCUCAGUGUUAUGCUUGGUUCCACUCGGCGUGAUAAGUUAUCUAUCGCUGAGGACACUGUAAAAGGUGGCCAAGGUAAAUGCAGAUGAACCGCUUCUAAUAGUCCAUUGACUUGGACAAUACUUUUAUGAUCUGAUCUCAAAUCAGGUAGGACUACCCGCUGAACUGAGC
rnacentral:misc_RNA from 1 species